GCGCUUGCUUUGACAGUACAUAUACUAAAACUAGAACAAUAUAGAGAAGAUUAGUAUGGCCCCUGUGCAAUGAUGACAUGCAAAUUCAUGAAGCAUUUCAUCUUUUU
ensembl:snRNA U6 U6 spliceosomal RNA